GAACGCUGGCGGCGUGCUUAACACAUGCAAGUCGAACGGAAAGGCCCUGCUUUUGUGGGGUGCUCGAGUGGCGAACGGGUGAGUAACACGUGAGUAACCUGCCCUUGACUUUGGGAUAACUUCAGGAAACUGGGGCUAAUACCGGAUAGGAGCUCCUGCUGCAUGGUGGGGGUUGGAAAGUUUCGGCGGUUGGGGAUGGACUCGCGGCUUAUCAGCUUGUUGGUGGGGUAGUGGCUUACCAAGGCUUUGACGGGUAGCCGGCCUGAGAGGGUGACCGGCCACAUUGGGACUGAGAUACGGCCCAGACUCCUACGGGAGGCAGCAGUGGGGAAUAUUGCACAAUGGGCGGAAGCCUGAUGCAGCAACGCCGCGUGCGGGAUGACGGCCUUCGGGUUGUAAACCGCUUUCGCCUGUGACGAAGCGUGAGUGACGGUAAUGGGUAAAGAAGCACCGGCUAACUACGUGCCAGCAGCCGCGGUGAUACGUAGGGUGCGAGCGUUGUCCGGAUUUAUUGGGCGUAAAGGGCUCGUAGGUGGUUGAUCGCGUCGGAAGUGUAAUCUUGGGGCUUAACCCUGAGCGUGCUUUCGAUACGGGUUGACUUGAGGAAGGUAGGGGAGAAUGGAAUUCCUGGUGGAGCGGUGGAAUGCGCAGAUAUCAGGAGGAACACCAGUGGCGAAGGCGGUUCUCUGGGCCUUUCCUGACGCUGAGGAGCGAAAGCGUGGGGAGCGAACAGGCUUAGAUACCCUGGUAGUCCACGCUGUAAACGGUGGGUACUAGGUGUGGGGUCCAUUCCACGGGUUCCGUGCCGUAGCUAACGCUUUAAGUACCCCGCCUGGGGAGUACGGCCGCAAGGCUAAAACUCAAAGGAAUUGACGGGGCCCCGCACAAGCGGCGGAGCAUGCGGAUUAAUUCGAUGCAACGCGUAGAACCUUACCUGGGUUUGACAUGGAUCGGGAGUGCUCAGAGAUGGGUGUGCCUCUUUUGGGGUCGGUUCACAGGUGGUGCAUGCCUGUCGUCAGCUCGUGUCGUGAGAUGUUGGGUUAAGUCCCGCAACGAGCGCAACCCUUGUUCACUGUUGCCAGCACGUUAUGGUGGGGACUCAGUGGAGACCGCCGGGGUCAACUCGGAGGAAGGUGGGGAUGACGUCAAGUCCUCAUGCCCCUUAUGUCCAGGGCUUCACGCAUGCUACAAUGGCUGGUACAGAGAGUGGCGAGCCUGUGAGGGUGAGCGAAUCUCGGAAAGCCGGUCUCAGUUCGGAUUGGGGUCUGCAACUCGACCUCAUGAAGUCGGAGUCGCUAGUAAUCGCAGAUCAGCAACGCUGCGGUGAAUACGUUCCCGGGGCUUGUACACACCGCCCGUCAAGUCAUGAAAGUUGGUAACACCCGAAGCCGGUGGCCUAACCGUUGUGGGGGAGCCGUCGAAGGUGGGACUGGUGAUUAGGACUAAGU
rnacentral:rRNA from 1 species